rnacentral:rRNA from 1 species
UACGGGGGGAGCAAGCGUUGUUCGGAUUUACUGGGCGUAAAGGGCGCGUAGGCGGUCGUGACAAGUCACUUGUGAAAUCUCCGGGCUUAACUCGGAACGGUCAAGUGAUACUGUCGGACUAGAGUACAGAAGGGGCAACUGGAAUUCCUGGUGUAGCGGUGGAAUGCGCAGAUAUCAGGAGGAACACCGGUGGCGAAGGCGGGUCUCUGGGCAGUAACUGACGCUGAGGAGCGAAAGCGUGGGGAGCGAACAGG